rnacentral:rRNA from 1 species
UACGUAGGUGGCAAGCGUUUGUCCGGAUUUACUGGGCGUAAAGAGCGCGCAGGCGGUCGUUCAAGUCGCGUGUGAAAGCCCCCGGCUCAACUGGGGAGGGUCACGCGAUGCUGAUCGACUGGAAGGCAGGAGAGGGUAGUGGAAUUCCCGGUGUAGUGGUGAAAUGCGUAGAUAUCGGGAGGAACACCAGUGGCGAAGGCGACUACCUGGCCUGUUCUUGACGCUGAGGCGCGAAAGCUAGGGGAGCAAACGGG